rfam:TPA: Bos taurus chromosome 8, whole genome shotgun sequence.
UCCCUGGUGGCUUAGGUGGUAAAGCGUCUGCCUGCAAUGUGGGAGACCCGGGUUUGACCCCUGGAUUGGGAG